GAUGAACGCUGGCGGCGUGCCUAAUACAUGCAAGUCGAGCGAACGGACGAGGAGCUUGCUUCUCUGAUGUUAGCGGCGGACGGGUGAGUAACACGUGGAUAACCUACCUAUAAGACUGGGAUAACUUCGGGAAACCGGAGCUAAUACCGGAUAAUAUUUUGAACCGCAUGGUUCAAAAGUGAAAGACGGUCCUGCUGUCACUUAUAGAUGGAUCCGCGCUGCAUUAGCUAGUUGGUAAGGUAACGGCUUACCAAGGCAACGAUGCAUAGCCGACCUGAGAGGGUGAUCGGCCACACUGGAACUGAGACACGGUCCAGACUCCUACGGGAGGCAGCAGUAGGGAAUCUUCCGCAAUGGGCGAAAGCCUGACGGAGCAACGCCGCGUGAGUGAUGAAGGUCUUCGGAUCGUAAAACUCUGUUAUUAGGGAAGAACAUAUGUGUAAGUAACUAUGCACAUCUUGACGGUACCUAAUCAGAAAGCCACGGCUAACUACGUG
rnacentral:rRNA from 1 species